UAGUCCACACCGUAAACGAUGAGAGCUAGUUGUCUGCAAGCAUGCUUGUAGGUGACGCAGCUAACGCAUUAAGCUCUCCGCCUGGGGAGUACGGUCGCAAGAUUAAAACUCAAAUGAAUUGACGGGGGCCCGCACAAGCGGUGGAGCAUGUGGUUUAAUUCGAUGCAACGCGAAGAACCUUACCUACACUUGACAUUCAGCGAACUUACCAGAGAUGGUUUGGUGCCUUCGGGAACGCUGGGACAGGUGCUGCAUGGCUGUCGUCAGCUCGUGUCGUGAGAUGUUGGGUUAAGUCCGGCAACGAGCGCAACCCACAUCCCUAGUUGCCAGCAGUUCGGCUGGGCACUCUAUGGAAACUGCCCGUGAUAAGCGGGGAGGAAGGGUGUGGGAUGACGUCAAGUCCUCAUGGGCCCUUACGGGGUUGGGGCUACACACGUGCUACAAU
rnacentral:rRNA from 1 species